rnacentral:snRNA from 1 species
AAGUGUUCGAGCUCUUCUAGAAUUUGCCCAGCAGGUUUUCCACUCUCUCCCACUAAGAAAGGCACC